rnacentral:rRNA from 1 species
UACGAGGGGUGCAAGCGUUGCUCGGAAUUAUUGGGCGUAAAGGGUAGGUAGGUGGUCUCAUUUGUCUGAGGUGAAAGCCUUGAGCUUAACUCAAGAAGUGCCUUAGAAACGGUGAGACUGGAGUACUGGAGAGGGUCGUGGAAUUCCCGGUGUAGCGGUGAAAUGCGUAGAGAUCGGGAGGAACACCAGAGGCGAAAGCGGCGACCUGGACAGUUACUGACACUCAACUACGAAAGCGUGGGGAGCAAACAGG